rnacentral:rRNA from 1 species
AUACGGAGGAUGCAAGCGUUAUCCGGAUUUAUUGGGUUUAAAGGGUGCGUAGGCGGUUUGCUAAGCGGGAGGUGAAAUGCCGGCGCUCAACGUCGGAAGUGCCUCCCGAACUGGUGGGCUUGAAUGACUCUGCCGUGGGAGGAAUGUGUAGUGUAGCGGUGAAAUGCUUAGAGAUUACACAGAACACCGAUUGCGAAGGCAUCUCACGAAGGGUUGAUUGACGCUGAGGCACGAAAGCGUGGGGAUCAAACAGGAUUAGAUACCCUGGUAGUCCACGCAGUAAACGAUGAUGGCUAACCGCUGGAUCCAUCGGUUCAAUGGCCAAGCGAAAGCGAUAAGCCAUCCACCUGGGGAGUACGACCGCAAGGUUGAAACUCAAAUGAAUUGACGGGG